rnacentral:rRNA from 1 species
UACGUAGGGGGCAAGCGUUGUCCGGAUUUAUUGGGCGUAAAGAGCGUGUAGGCGGCCAGAUAGGUCAGCUGUGAAAACUCGAGGCUCAACCUCGAGACGUCGGUUGAAACCAUCUGGCUAGAGUCCGGAAGAGGAGAGUGGAAUUCCCGGUGUAGCGGUGAAAUGCGCAGAUAUCAGGAGGAACACCGGUGGCGAAGGCGGGUCUCUGGGCAACAACUGACGCUGAGGAGCGAAAGCGUGGGGAGCGAACAGG